CGCGUAUGCAACCUACCUCAUACUGGAGGAUAGCCCCUGGAAACGGGGAUUAAUACUCCAUAGUAUCACGAAUUCGCAUGUUUUUGUGAUUAAAGUUUUUCGGUAUGAGAUGGGCAUGCGUCCCAUUAGCUUGUUGGUGAGGUAACGGCUCACCAAGGCAACGAUGGGUAGGGGGCCUGAGAGGGUGGUCCCCCACACUGGUACUGAGACACGGACCAGACUCCUACGGGAGGCAGCAGUGAGGAAUAUUGGUCAAUGGAGGCAACUCUGAACCAGCCAUGCCGCGUGAAGGAUGACGGC
rnacentral:rRNA from 1 species